CUCUUAUCAAGAGAGGUGGAGGGACUGGCCCGAUGAAGCCCGGCAACCGGUAGUAUAAGUUCGCAAUACUAUAGCGGUGCCAAAUCCUGCAGCAAAAAUGCUGGAAGAUGAGAA
rnacentral:ncRNA from 1 species